rnacentral:rRNA from 1 species
AGCUCCAAUAGCGUAUAUUAAAGUUGCUGCAGUUAAAAAGCUCGUAGUUGGAUCUCGGGGUACCUGGUCUAGCCGGUAUAGCUCACGCUAAAACUGGUCUGACCCCCCAACGUGAGGUAUUCGUCUCCGGGUGCACUUCAUUGGGUGCUCGUGAGGGGCCUCGUAGUUACUGUGAAAAAAUUAGAGUGUUCAAAGCAGGCUCAUAUGUUCGGAUAGUCGUGCAUGGAAUAACUGAAUACGGGACUGGCUCUUUUGAGUUGGUUUGGGCGACUGGUCAAUGGAUUAAAGGGAACGUCCGGGGCAUUGGUAUGGCGGGGUUAGAGGUGAAAUUCUUGGAUCCUCGCCAGACCAACAAAAGCGAAAGCAUUUGCCAAGAAUGUCUUCA